rnacentral:lncRNA from 1 species
GGUAGUGCUGCUCCGGGUAGAUGCAACGGCUUGGAGGCGUGCAACUCUGGGCGGACGCUGCCCUGCCUAGCAGCAUGCUGCUCCGGCAGAUGCAGAGGCAUGGUGGCGUGUAGCUCUGGCGUGACAAGCUCUGCCAGGAUGCUGGCGAUGACGGCCUUCUCUAUGGUUAGAUUUGGCAGAGGUCUUCUCAGGUCUUUGUUUUUGGGAGACCAGAGGUUAGUAAUUUCCAAUAGAUGCUAACAUAAAUUCAUCCUAUUCAGAGUAUAAAUUGCAUAACCCAUUCACUGAUGUCCUGAAAUGAUGCGUUAGGGUUCUGAAUUUCUGCAGUUCUGAAUUUUUCAGGUUUUGAAUUUCUUCUGAAUUAGCAGCAGUUCAAUGGUGUUGGCUUUGCAUCUGUUAACCGGCAACAGCAACAUGAUUCUGUAUUUUUGAAUAUGAAUUCAGUUCAGCAUCAAUAAAAACAUAAAUUUGACAAGCUCGGAGAACACUCUAAAAAUCAUACUCGAUACUAAAGUUAUACAUGUUAUUCUUGUAUAUAUUUUUCAAUGAAGUGUUCAAUAGAUGAUUAGCUAUACUAUUGUGGUGAUAUUUUGUCCCAGGUUAUCUAACACCCAAGAAACUGUGCAUUAUCAUAGUGUUAUGAAUAAUAAUUUUAGGCUCUUUCAACCUGUUUUCUAAAUAUCUCCACCUUUCUUCGGCUUACAACUAAUAUGUGUUGUUCGAACUGAAAUCAAUUUUGCUUGAUCAAAGUGAUAACAUUCUCAUAGCCCAAGUUAAAAAUAAUAUAUUUCAGUUCAGCUGGUUUUGUUUUAGUUCACUUUUGAUGAAUUUUGAAGACUACAUGUUUUUAUUCACUAGUACAACAACACCUCAUGCUUUUGCCUGGUUGUUUUUCUCACUGUAAUUCAGCAACCACAGCUUCAAGGAGCAGAUGGACAGCUACUAGUUUUCUUCAGUGGCAACAAUAGGUUUACUAUUCUGGAAAUAGAACAGUCAAUCUUCUACUGCUCAUUUUAGUGUAAUGUCCCACAUCGUUCCCUAAUUGCCUUUACCUUACAUUAACACAUCAACAGGCAUUCUCUUUGUUUUUUGUGCUAUUUACAGUGAUAUGUUCUGCAUGUAAUGCAGUAGUGUAGAUUUUAAUAUACUUAAUUCUGUAGUUCACCAUUAAACUAUACAUUUGCUGGUGGUCUCUUGUAUUCUGGAUGCAUAUAGCCAUCGGCCAAAGUCAAGAUUAAAGAUGUAGUUCAGUGUACUGCUCCUAGUUAAAUUAAUCUUUGGAAGUUCAGUAUACUACAACUGCUUAUUAAUUCGACCAUAGGUAGUCAGGGAGCUGCUUCUAGUUAGCAUGGUUAGUUAGCUCCUACUGUUGUGAUGUCACUUGUACUUGUAAUAAAUGGAUGGCAAGUGUACUACUAUUUCCUGCUUGUAGCCCUCUAUUUUUCCAUCUACACUUUCUGUAGGGAUUUAAGCAUCAUAUAUGUAUGACAAAUAAAUCUGACGAUGACUGCUAUCUAUUGUGCAACUACAGGCCAUUUGGAAUAGGUUUCAGCACUAGUUUGAGGCAGUCACUAUGCUUUCAAUCACUGUUCUAUCUAACUAGUGAGUUUUGAGUGAGUAUUAUAGGUUCUAACCUCCUGUUUGCUAAACAAGAAGUUUAAUAAUUUUAAAGCAUGCUGGACAUUUUCGAUAGUAUAGUAUGUAGUAACAGUAGCAUUUAUUUUUCAGCAGGCACACAAAAAACAAGUGUGGUAAUUGAGAUUUCAGAAAACUCUAAGUUUGCUGGUUGACCUGUUAUUUCUCUUUUUGCCACCGUAAUUCAAAGCUAUGCUCCCUUGGCAAAUCAUGUAUUUCUCUAGGUGCACUGACUAUGGCAAUAUAUCUUCUGUGUAUGUGUUACUUGCAUUUAUUCCUGUUUUGAUGAAACAGCAGCCAGACUAUUGAGUAGAUGCAUAAGUUUUUCUUACAGGAAUUAAUAGUUUUUGUGUUCUAAUCUAUAAUUCAACAAUUAGUAGUGUUACAUUAUCUUGUCGUUGCAGUGCUAUCUAUUAAGUUCUUUGAAUCACCAUUUGAUUGAACGUUUCUUUUUCUGGUUUUUAGGAAGAGAAUUGGUGGAUAAAACAAUAUUGGAGAAGUGCUUGACCAAGGAACAUCAUUUCACCAAGGCGGUUGCAUUGCUUAUUUGCUUAUCGCAGCAUGGUGGAUAGACAAUGUUAGCUGUUGAAUUAGUGUAGUUUUUAAAUUGAUUCAUCAUCAAUUUGUAAAUCUUUUUAUAUAAACAUAUUUGACCAAAUGGUUGUAAAUCUAUAAUUCAGAAUGCUAUAAUGAAAUUUCACCAUAUUUGUCAUUCAAUGAAUGUUGGGAUUUCUUCUUAAAAAAAUAGAUGGGCCAGUUGGUGAUGUAAGCAUCCAUGUUAUCAUCCACGUAAGCAGUCUGAUGAUGAUGUGGCAAUUUAUUUGUGACGGUUUAGAACCGUCAUAGGUAUUGGGCUUGGGCUGGGCUAACUAGGCUUUGGGCUCAACUGUGACGGUUUGAGAUCGUCACGGAUUUUGUCAAUUUAUGACGGUUUGGUCAAAAUCGUCACAGAGGUUAAUCCAUGACGCUCAAUCCGUGACGAUAUCUGAAACCAUCACAGAUAUUGUAUUGUGACGGUUUUUUGGUGAUCCAUGACGGAAAUUUUUUGUCAUAGAUUAACAGGAUUCUUGUAGUGUUACCCCUUAUAGUCCGGAUCGCGAGGUAGAUCGUGGGAGUGACAGUUCUGUUAAGUCCUCUGUAGUCUUCCUCCUGAUUAUAAGGAUUGUAGAGUACCAUUAUUACAGGGAAGUGAUUACUAUGUUCAUGAUCUUUCUUAGUAAUAUCACUAUGCAUAAGUAUGCUAGGUGUAAUUGCACUAAUCAUUGUAUGCUUUGACAAUAUAGUUAGAAUACUUAGGAUUUAUUCUUAUAGAUCACCUAAUCUAUGCUAGUGUUAUAGACUUAGAGUACUCUAUUGAGAUGGUUAUCAUAUUCAUAUCUGGCUAUGUGCUCUCAUUUAUCUUCUAUCACUUAUUAUUCAUAUUCUUAUUAUUUAUCUUAUGUGACACUUACCCUACAUGAGAGAUAGAUAAAGACAUGGUUAAGAUCUCCAUGACUACAUGCAAUGCUCAUUGCUCAUUAUCCAAUGCAGUCCCUUUCCAGUGGUAAAAAUAUAAACAACGAUACCUGGAUUACCCCUAGUUAAAAUACUACAUCGGUAUUAUCUGUGUGCUUGUGGAUCCUUUAUUUAUUUAUUAUCUAGAAAAGCAUAUACAUUUAAUACCCGCACUUAUACAUCAUGUUGGGGAUGACAACCUAGCUUAAGUGAUGUAAAGUAAUUUUAGCGCUAUUGCUAGGGAUAGGUUUAAAAGUCUAUUUAUAGUAAUUGCGUUAACAAGUGUCAACAACCAUGCAACCUAUCAUAGUUCAUUUGCAUAAAAGUAAAGCACUAUCAUCUAUAUUAUAGCAUGUCUAGCAGGAUUCUACAAGAUUGGGUGGAACGUGGCACCUAUUGAGUGUCAUUUCUAAGAUCCUCAAUGCACUUGUAGUCAUUCUCAUAUGAGGUUCUCCUUCUAGCCGCAUGCCCUUCCUCCAAUAGGUGCCAAUCCGAUUAGCUAACCCCAAAGCAACUACCUCGAAAGCGACAAACAGUGCAAAACAAUCAAACCACUAGACCUAGAAAACCGUGGAGAGAGGCAACAAGCAUAGAAGAACAACUAUUGACGGUCUCUAACACCUCAUUUUAUACUAUCAACAAUGGCUAUUUUGGUCAUAUAACUGACACAAAACAUAGUCAUAGGGUUUAUUACUAAUGAUUUCCACAAUUUGUGAUGAUUAUAUGUGCGCAGGUGAAAUAGGGCAAUAUACAUAGUAAAAAUACAUCUUAAAUUUCUCAUUUUGAUUAUGCCAUGUUAAAUAUAUCGUUGAGAUACAUGAAAUGGAGUUUUGGUUAACUUAAUUCGGAGUCCGGAUGACAAAGUUAUGGCUUCUAGAAGAUUGUGAGAUGGAACGUGUCUAAAACUUAUCAUUGGGCAUGGCAGGCGCCAGGAAUAUAUAGCGGCCGCCAUGAACAUGUGUCCAAUGGCCAUCAAACUUGCUCCAAGGCCUCUCUACUCAAUGGAGAACCCAUGGCAAGCUUGGUUCAUGGCAUUGGAUGAUAUGGAAGUCCGGUAGUAAUGAUCAUCAUCCAAAGACAAGCUUACAACUGAAGGAAACGACAUCAGAACCGCACAAAACUUUGUACACCUGCAAUGUGGAGGACAAGAGGAGACUAAUGGCCAAAGUGAUGUGGUGGCCGCCACAUCCACCUUGGCGCCCGCCACUCCUAGGUGGUGCCCGCCACCUCCAUCUAGUUAGGACACAUCACCGAUCCGUGUGACUACCCUGAGGAACCAUCUGGUGCGUUGUUUUGAUGUCAGUUUCAUCUAAGGGCUGCAUGAGGGUGUCACAUGGAUUGUGGUCUUUCCAACAUGUGAAAAAAUAUUUCCAACACGUGAAACUACUCCACCGACUUGGGGAGCUGCCUCUAGGAGCAAGAAGGAGCCGUAGGAUCGAAAGGCGGCUGCAUCGAGUGGCGCCCGCCACUUCCCGUGCGGCGCCCACCACCUCAGAGUGGCGCCCGCCACUCCACAAUGGCACCCACCAACCUUUCCUAGCACCCUCCACUCCAUUCAUCUUCCAUGGCGCCCCCAUCACCUCCAGCCUAUUUAACCCCCCUCGGGUCACUUUGGAGGCAGGUAGGCUCAUGUAGUUAGUCUACUAGAAUUAGUGAGUAGCUAGCUAGUUGCCUCCCUUGGAAGAGGAGUUAGAGAGAAGAGGAGAAGUCAGGAGAGGAGCUGGGCUUCUCAACGACCUCUGCUUCCCUCUACUCUACGCUUCUUCUUUGGUAAUCCUAUAAACCUUUAUUAUCUCUAAGUACUUAUUUAUUCCUAUUUGUGUGCUUGUUUCAUUGCUUGGUUAGAGUGCCCUAGUUCUAGGAUCCAAAUUAGAGUUGUAAGUGCAUAGAUUAAGCAUGGUACUUAGGCUAUAGCUUACCCUUGAAUACGGCUAGGCCUCCGGAUAGCUAUGGUAGCGGCAGGUGGUGAAAGCCCUGUUUGCCUAUGUAUUCCACCACAUUGGGCCUAGUUUUUAAAACAUAGAGCUCAUUGUGCAUCGUGCCUAAUCAAUCCUCUUGGGUGAGUUUAGGACGCGUACACUCAUAGUGCAUAAGUCAGGAAUAUAUAAUUCCUUAGGGCAGUGACGGUAGUGGAUCAACCCUAGUAGUUAGCCUCUAUACCUCUAUCCCCAUAGUCAUCCUUCUCUCUAACCUUUAGAUCACUUCAUGUUCCUCGUGGAUUCGAUAACCCUAGGAAUACUCAUUUGGUGAAAAGCUACAACUGAUAGUUGUGCACUUGCGGUUAAUUCUAUGUGCCACCCGACGUGUCAACAAGCUUUUCUGGCACCGUUACUAGGGAACAAUAGCUGAUUUCUGAAGACUAGAAUUAGGAUUUCUAUUCCUCUCUGUAUGGAGAAUUUAUCUAUGUUCCACUUCACAGCUCCUAGGAGUUCGCGAUUAGAACCACCUUUAUCAUCCCAGCCUAUAGUGGUCGAUAGUUACGAGUUACAUGCGAGCUUUAUCAAUAAAGCUUAGGAGUGUACCUUCUUAGGAAAUGCAAAGGAAAAUUUGUAUUCAUAUUUAUGAGAUUUCAAGCAAGUGUGUUCAUGAUUGAAUAUUUCAGGCAUGUCACAUGAAACCCUUAAGUGGAAACUAUUUCCAUUCUCUUUGACGGGAAUAGCCAAGCUGUGGUAUACUCGAACUGUAGAGAGUGUAAAUGGAGAUUGGGAAGUCCUUUCCAUGUUUUGUUUAAACUUCUUCCCUAUCUCCUGAGUAACGCAUCUUAGAGUAUAAGCCCUAACCUUCAAGCAUAAAGAGGAGGAGUCUCUUAGUGGUGCUUUGGCUUGUUUGAUAGACCUUUCUAUAUCCAGCCCUGACCUUUCUAUACCCAAUCCCAUGUUGUUGCAACAUUUCUAUUGUGGUCUUAGUAAGGAAUCUGCCCAAUUCCUUGACAUUGCUUCUGGAGGAGCCUUCUUACAUUUUCUAGUAGUGAAGGGAGAGCUAUCCUUGAUAGGAUCUUAGAAAACUAUCCCUACACUGAUGUCCAUGGCGACUCCCAUGAAGAAAAGGUCAUUCCAUCCCCCAAGCAAGAAAAAGUUUUGACAUCUAAAUAUUUUUCAAUUCCAUCUAACCCUUUAGAUGUCAUCCCAAAUCCUGAGCUAUUCAUAGGUACACCAAAGGAAGAAGAAAUUCAUCCUUUGGAAAUAACCUACCAAUAUUGCUUGAAUGAUUAGUUGAUCUAGUGGUAUGUAUAUGAGUUUGUUCAUGAGCUAGUGAACCCAAGUACUUGAUCUAUUUUGGAUUGUUAACAAGUGACAAGUACAACAUUGGCAAGAUAACCCUUAAUGUGAGGUGUGAAAAAGCUUGUCUUUGGUUCAAACCGGACUUGGAAGCUUAGGCAAAUCAACAUAGUUCAAGUCUACAAUUAGAAGCUCAUAGUGAUUAGAGUACAAGAAUAAGAUAACAAUGCAAGUGGAUAUCUAGAAUUAAAUGUUUCUUCAAUUGGUAUCCAACAAAUGGUACUCAUGAUAAUGAUAGCAAAUGUUCAAGAUAGCAAACAAGUGAAUCCAUACUAGAAGACCUUAAUUAGUAGAAGAAUCCCAUAUGGUAUCGGUCAAGAUAUUUCAAAUGAUAUCACAUUAUACAUAUGGUAUCUAUCAUACAAGAAGGUGGUUCCACAAGUGAUCCUCAACUUUAAGUGAUCAUCAAGCAAAGAAAGUUCCCUCACCAACAUGAUUGAUAAGUGAAUGACCCAUGCUAUAACAUAGGGGGAGGUGCCCCACCAAAAGGUAUCAAGGUCAAAGAUCCUAUGUGGUAUCUCAAGAGCAAUACAAGUAGUGUCAUUCCAACACAUAUGGUUAUGUCCAUCAAAAAUGCAAGAUUCAAGUCUCAACCAUCUACCCCAUAUGUGAUCCUUUGUCACAAUGAGAUGCACACUUUUUCAAAUUGGUAUCAAGUGAUUUAAUUGGUAUCACAUACCUUUUAUGGAAAUUGAUGACAAAGAGGGAGAAAUUGGAACAAAGAUAUGAUCAUGGGGGAUGUUAGACAACAAAAGAUGGAAAGUUGGUUUGAACAUGGACAUGGACCAAGAGGGGGACCAAGAGGGAGCAACAUUGAAGAAAAAGAUGGAUCAAAAUUCUUGAACAUGAGAAGCGCACAAGUAGGGGGAGCAAGCUCAUGAACAUUGAUUGUUUGCAUUUGAUUUAUGCAUAUUCAUGUGCUUGCUUGCAUUGCAUAAGUUUUUAAAUACAAUAUGCAUGCUUGUGUGGUGUAUGCUAGUUAUAGAACUUGAUUGAUGAUAUGAUAGCUAGCUUACAUAGGUUGGUAGCUAGACUUGUGUUUUUCAAGUAAGAACUAGACCCUUGCUUAUAAUGUUGAUCUCACAGGGUUUCUAGUGUUUUUUUGUCUAGCUACUCAUGGUGCUAAGGAUGGUGUACAUUGAAUGCUUCAAAUGAUAUCAAAUUUGGUAUCGAGCUACAAAGGUUUAUUCUAUACACCAUAGCACUUAGUAGGGUUUUAUGGUGCUUAUACAAAUCUUGACAUAGAGCUUAAAUGUUGGAUAAGUAGCAUAAAAUCCAAACUAAGUUAGCAAUUUACACUUGUGUGAAGUGCUAGCUUGAAAAAGCUUAAUUUCCAUAUCUUUGUAGAGUUGUCAUCAAUUACCAAAAAGGGGGAGAUUGAAAGGUCCUUGUUUGGUUUUGGUAAUUGAGUGACAACUUAGGUGGACUAAUAGUGUUUAUGUCAGAUACACAGGAGAUUAGUCCAUAGGUAAUUAUGUGAUGAUGGAGGAGCUCAUUGCAUAUGAGACAUGACAUAGAGUCAUGUGACCAAGGUGGAGAAGAUCAAGAUGAGGCUUGGCUCGAUGGACUGGUUGCAAGAGUGAAGGGCAAGUCGGAGGCUUUGAAGCAAGGGACCACGUGUGACGGUGAAGCUUGAGCAAGACUUGGCGCCGAUGGACCGAGGCAAUGGUGAAGAGAAAGUGAGGUCAAGAUCGAUGAACCAAUACGGUCACGUGAUGAUAUGAAGUGGAUCAUAUCAUUUGGUGAUUGGUUGAUGCAUGUGUUGCAUCAACCUCGGAGGAGAUGGAGUGGAAUGUGCAAGGCAAAGGUAUAACCUAGGGCAUUUCCAUUUCACCGGUCAUAGGUGUGUAGAGAAGAUUAUGACCAGAUUUAGGAUAGAUGGCCAUACUAUCAAGAGGGGCAAACUUGUUUACAUAUCGGUCAUCUAGUGCCACUUGAGUGAUCUAACUUUGCAUACGUGUUAGGAUCGAGUGGCGUGGCAAGUUGAGAGGCUAACUCCCUUGGGAAAAUGUUUGUGAAAAUGCUAACACACAUGCACAAGUGUUGUGACACUUUGGUGUUGGCACAUGGAAGCAAGGCAAGAAGUUGAAGAUCGUUUCGGUGAAAAUCAGCUUUCUGUGAAGCACCAGAUGCAGGAAUAGUACACCCUGAGCGUCCAGUGUAGCGCGUCCGGUGAGACCGGACGCGUCUGUUGUGUGUGUGUCUGGUGUUCACUCAGUUUGAAGAGCUCUCUGCGCAUGCGUCCGGUAUAGACCGGACGCAUCGGUGCUACACCGGACGCAUCCGAUGAUGUGCGUCCGGUGUUGCUGUCACUUUGCACAGCUCUCUGCGCACGCAUCCGGUAUGGACCGGACACGUCCAGUGUGACCAAGUUGUGAGUCCGGUGCUAUGGUAUCAGGAGGACACACGUUGGCGGCAACGGUCAUUUUUCAAACGGUCGAGAGCACCGGACGCUGACCUGGCAGAUACCGAUGCGUCCGGUGUGAACUAGGACGCGUCCGGUGUGCACGACUUUUGCCCAGUGAAAGGGCAACGGCUAGUUUAGCCCUUGGGGCUAUAAAUAGAAGUGGUGGUCGGCCUUGGCUAGUGUUGAGCACCCUUGGGACUUAGUGUCCAUGCUUGGGGAGUGCUAGUGAAGCCUCUAGCUCACAUAUGCUUGAUAGUGAUCAUACGAUUGUGUGAGUGAGCGAUUCUAGUGUGUUGCAUUGAGAGAUUGCAUCGAGUGGCACUAGGUGUUCAUGUUGCAAGCCGGUGGUGCUUGUUACUCUUGGAGGUUGCCACCUCCUAGAAGGCUUGGUGGCUUGUGACUCCGUUGAAGCACGCAAGGAGAUUGUGUGGUGCUCCAGAUAAGAGAUUGUGUGGGGUACGGUGCUCACCCCGCGGGGAUCGUGAAGAGCAACUCUAUCAGAUCGUGUGUGUCAUUGAGUUAUCUCACUUGUGGGUAGGUUCUUGCGGUGUCCUAGUGGGGACAAGGUUCGUGUAACACCUCUUAGCCGCCGAACCACCAAGUGUUGGUCGACACAAUGAGAACGUAGCUUGGUGGCAACCAAGUGAACCUCGGGAGAAAAUCAUCGUGUCAACUUUGUUCUUCCCGUUAGUUUGCAAGUCCCUAACACAAGCUUGUAUUUACAUUCAUAUAUUUGUGCUUGUGUAGUUGCUCUUGUAAUUAGUUAGCUUGUGUAGCUUGCUAGUUACCUUCUUGCUUGUGUAGCUAGAAGUAGUCCUCUUGCGUGGCUAAUUUGGUUUGUGUAACCAUGUUAGUCAAAUUGCUUAGUUUGUGUAGCUAAGUAAUUUGCGCUCUCUAAUUUGGCAUUGGUUGCCUUGUUAUUGAGCAUUGCUAGUGAGCUUAGGAGCUUUGUGCUUUUGCUUACUAGUUGUGUAGGAGCUCCUCGGUUUGUAAAGUACUAGUGGCAUAGGUUUGUGUGACCUUGCACCUAGAAUUGGUUAGACAAGCUCUUGCUAAGGUAGCACCUUGUUUGUUUGUUUAGGAUCUUUUAAAGGUGCUAGAGAACUUAGAUAGAGUGGUGUAGUCUUGGCUAGACCAAUAGUUUUAAUUCCGCACUUGUUUCGGUUAGCCGGAGUGUUAAAGUUUUAGAAAGGACUAUUCACCCCCCUCUAGUCCGCCAUCUCAACCCUUCAACCACCUAUACACUAGCUAACAUGUUUUGGUCUUCUACAUUUAUUUGUUGCUUUUUUAGUAUAUGAAUCUACGCUAGCACAUUGGUUUCCAAUUAAUGGCUAGCUAUCUAUGGCUACAGCAGAGGUGCAAAGCGCUGCGCGUCAGACAGCUCACCGGCACUAUGGUUCUAGGUUGCCCAUGUAGUAGACAAGCAAAAUGGUUGAAAAAGAGCACAAUGUGCACUAAUUCUGUAGUGGUGUCAUAGGUGCUAUUAUCACGCAUGGCCUAAACCAGCGGUGACACUCACCAUAUCACUGACGGUUGAUGAUCCAAUCUAGUUGUGAUAGUCAUGAAUAUCACUAUCGGUUUAUUAUCUGACCUAACAGUGUUGUGCCUAUUAUCACUACUAGAUUGCCUACCUAGCAGCGAUAGACUACCCUAUCACCGCUGAUUAAUCUCUGCUGACACGGAUUCUAGAAAUAAUGGGGGCUUCCAACCCAAGAAUGAUUAUCAGAUCUAGUGUAGUGUUUGCUGCCUUUUUCAUCUAUGAACCUAUAGCCAGCACAUUGGAUUCUAAUUACUUACAGCUCAUAAGCACCACCUGUACACUAGCUAACAUGUUUUGGUCUUCUACAUUUAUUUGUUGCCUUUUUAAGUAUAUGAAUCUAUGCUAGCACAUUGGUUUCCAAUUAAUGGCUAGCUAUUCGUGGCUACAGCAGAGGCGCAAAGCACUAUGCGUCAGACAGCUCAUCGGCACUAUGGGUCUAGGUUGUCCAUGUAGUAGACAAGCAAAAUGGUUGAAAAAAGAGCAUAAUGCACACCCCUCCCUCAUGGGCUCCACCCCUACCUGGUUCACAUGCACGAAAGGAAGGUUUGCCCUACAACACCAUGCACAUGGAAAACCACUAACAUCACUACAGCUAGUACAACAACAAUAGCAGACCUCUUUGGUUUUCCGCUUUCCAUUUCUCACAGGCUCACACUUCUCUGGCUGCCCUGCCCAAAUAAAUCUGAUUUCCAAGCCGUAUCACCAACCAUACCGGCCGUAGCCACCAACCUUCCAUUUUGAACCUCCGAUCUAACCAGGCGCGUGAGUCAUAAAUAGUUGCCCCCAUUCCUCAUUCCAUAGUAUAGCUAGUACUCACCGGUGCCACCUCCAUCUCUAAAGGUUUGCUAGGUUCUAGUCCUUGCUGCCAUCUUGUCGUGUCGAUCCCCUCAAGACCUAAGCGAAGCAUGGCCUCUGGUUCUGAAUCCCAUGGUUGCGGAUCCCAUGACCAAGGUAGCUAUCGAGCCUGCACCGAAGCUCCACCGGCAGACAACACUAUCAUCACUCCCCAGCUCAACCCUGAGUUUGAGGCUAUGACAGCCAUGGAACUCACCGCCCACCUGAAUCACUCUCGUCGCACAUCUGACUUUGCCGACGCGGCACUUGUCUUCGCCGCACGCGAACGCAGGCUCAAUGAGGCUGAGGCCCUUAUCCACAUGAGCAACGAGCACGUGGACAAGCUAAAGGGCGAGAUCAAGGCACAUGAGUAUAGCGCCCUUAUGGCGAAGGCUCAGAUCCACCGGGCUGCCAAGAUGGAGAUGGGACUACGGGCCGAGAUCCAUACACUGCAACUCAAGGCCACCGACGUCGAGGCACGUGGACGGCAUGCCUCUGGCAUCAGUGGGUGUAGGCUCACACAGCCAACUAGUCAUGGUCUUAGCAGCAUCAAGAUGUCAUAUGGGAAAGAAGUGGAUCAUGAGGUUUCAAAAGACGUCCUCGGAGCAAGGUACCAAAUGUCCUGCUAUUAUUUGUACUCAGGUUGAAUUUUGUUGUUUUAGCCUGCUAUAGCUUAUAUACCAUGGAGGCCGAUAUGCCAUGGUCAGUCAAGCGCGUCGCGUCACCCUGCCUACCCUAGUACCCCACCCACGCCUCCUCCCCUGCCACCCCAACCAGAUGCUGCCUCACCACCGUCCACGCUGCCCACCUCCUGCGCCCCUCGACCCUACCCUUGACUAACCAUAGGGCGGCGUGCUGGCAUCGUCCUUAUCCUUUGUCCCUUGAUCCUGCCCACCCAAAUCCUAGGGAAGGGCACCGCUGAGCUCUGCCACAAUGCCCUCACAGCUACCCCUGCCCAACCAGAGCUCUGCCACAAUGCCCUCACAGCUACCCCUGCCCAACCUGUAACGUCCCGCCUCCACGAGGUCGGGUCCGCUUACAUCUGGCAGCUUUUUUAGGAUAUAGUCCGUCCCCACAGACCAACACUAGUCUUUUCUGCACACUUUGUCCUCACUCGCGCGCACCCAGGAACUACUUCCCGGUCGCACUUUGUCCUCACUCGCGCGCACCCAGGAACUACUUCCCGGUCGGUCACCCAUCCCUAAAUUUCUCCAGGCCAAGCACGCUUAACUUUAGAGUUCUUUAGAGAUGUGCUUCCGGAAAAGAAGUUGCAACUUGUUGGUAUGAGUCUCCUAUUAAUCCUAUUAAGCCCUGGGCCAGGUGUUACAUCCUCACCCCCUUAAGAGAUCGACGUCCUCGUCGAUCAACCCCAAGCCAGGAACGUCUCCUCUUGGCCACGUCCGUGCAUCCAGUGCCAGCGCAUAUGCCAUGCUGUGCGACCACUCCGGGUCCACACCAGCCAUGGACACCAUGCCUGCACAACUGCGACACACGCGCCCGUGAAACCGCGAGAGUCGGCUCUGAUACCAUUCUGUAACGUCCCGCCUCCACGAGGUCGGGUCCACUUACAUCUGGCAGCUUUUUUAGGAUAUAGUCAGUCCCCACAGACCAACACUAGUCUUUUCUACACACUUUGUCCUCACUCGCGCGCACCCAGGAACUACUUCUACACACUUUGUCCUCACUCGCGCGCACCCAGGAACUACUUCCCGGUCGGUCACCCAUCCCUAAAUUUCUCCAGGCCAAGCACGCUUAACUUUAGAGUUCUUUAGAGAUGUGCUUCCGGAAAAGAAGUUGCAACUUGUUGGUAUGAGUCUCCUAUUAAUCCUAUUAAGCCCUGGGCCAGGUGUUACACAACCGUCUUCGCCCACCGCCUCAGUGGGCGGCGCCCCUAUCAUUGUGUCGCCCACCUACUGUCGUGUCGUGGCCGCCGCCCCCAAAACCCCCAAAUAAAAGUGAUAUCACUUUGACAUCAUUUCAUUAUCACUAUUGCUAUGUUAAAUGUUAUUUUAAAUUUCCAUUUCUUUUGUCCCCUUUAAAAUUAACUAUAGAUAAUAUACUUCAUCCUUUAGUUUUUCUAUAUAUUUAUCCCCUCUUGUGUGCCUUUGUUUUUAUCUUUUCACUUUUUUAUCCCCUCUAAAUAUUAUAGGUAUAAAUAAUAUGUUUCAUCCUUUAUUUUGCAUUUUUUGCAUCCCAUCUUGUUGUGUCCUGUGAGAUACACCAUGAAAUGGAAUGAAAAUCGAUAACUAUGUAGAGUAUUGUGUCCCCUUUACAAAGUAUGCACUCCAACAUUAGUUGUGUAUCAUGGAGAUUAGCCAGAUCAGUGAUUAGAGAUUGGUUUGUGGUUCGCCCAACAUUAGUAUUAGAAAAUUGUUAUAUUUCAAAUUAUUUUAUAUUUCAUUUGAACUUCUAUAUCGUAAUUUGUCAGAGUUUUUAGCUUAAUCUUUGAAUUUUAGGCUUAUGAUUUAUUACUGCAUGUGGUUUUACCGAAAUAGAAUAUUGUGUACCAAAUUAAAAACAGUUUUCCCGAAUUGCACAAGAAAAAAAUUUUGUAUGACAUAUCCUAUGCUCGAAUCCUAGGUCUGUCACUAACUAUUUGUUACACUGUCUUAAGAGUCAUAGCGAGCCACAAGGUUCCAAAAGAGGAUGCACAGGGAGAAGAGGUGGCAGCAAGUCAUCAUAGUCGUUCCCAAGGAGAACAACCUGUAAGAGCCUCCAAAAAGGCUGGCAGGCAGGACGGGGUGUCCAUCUACACAUCGGUUUUUGUCGCCCUCAAGGAGAAACAGGAGCGUCUCCUAAAAAUGGAGAAGGAGAAAGCCCUUGCUAGGGAAGCUGCUGCCACAUCCAAGCAGCUGGAAUGCAGGUGCUGGUGGUCGGAUGCACCAUAUGAUGUGAAGGAGGAUUCUAAUGACGGACUGAAUGAUUCUUAGUGGUAUGAUGCAUUAUAUUGUUUUUCCUAUUAUUAUUUCAAAGCAAGGACAUAUUAGCUAGCAAAUCAUUUGCAUUAGCACUGUUUUCUUUCUCCUAUGUUAGGACUAUUACUACAUAUUUUUUAUUUUUUGAAAAUUAUAUAUAUAUAGGAUAAUUAUAUAUAUACAUAUAUAUAAAGGAAUUAUAUAUAUAUAUAUAUAUUAAAAGUAAAGUAAGGACUUAGUUCAACAUAGAUAUUUUAUCUUUUUUCUAGAAAUACAUAUAUGUUAAUGCUCUGAGGCAAGAGGUCCGACGUCAUUAGAAGUAAUGCAGUAUGGCAUUGCCUACGUACCCAACGCGGCUAUCAAAUCACAGGCACCUACUCAACACAAAUAUUUAAUUUUUAAGACUCAGUUUAAAUUAUGAACUUCCAAUUUGAAAAGCUGGAACCCUUUGUCAAAUAAACUGUAACCAGAUAUAUUAUCCUAAGCGAUGUUCUUAUCUACAGCUGUUUAUUUUCUACAGUAAAAUGAAUUAUUUGGCAUAUCAUAUUGUUCUCACUUUAUGUGUUGUUCACAUACAGGUAACGGGCUACAAGAAUGGAGAAGAGAACCAGGGACCUGUUGGACUUGCUAUGAUAAUCUUUUGGUGUGUCCAUUGGUAUACUGCUACUGUAACCGUGUAACAGCAAGCCUGCUACUGACUUGCUGUUGUUUAUUUUCUCGGUCUAGUUGUUGCUCAUUUUAUUUUUCUCCAUUCUAGAAAAUUGUGGAUGAAUUGGAACCGUUCAAUGGAUGAUGUUGUAAGAUGUGUAUGAGUUUGACGGUAUCAUGGUCAUGGACUCAUGGUCGUGAUGGCUGCACAAAAACUCUAGUUCGUUAGUGGAUCAAUAAAUGGAUUAUAUUCACCAUCGUUAAAUUUAUAUGCAUAUUGUUUAUUUCAUUCUAUAAAUAUGCAAGUGAUGUAUCAUGGUCAUGUACAGUAUUUUGUGCUUUAGCUCGUGAGCAGAAUGAGCUAACUCGAACUGGCUAGUGAGCUGAGCUAGUCUGCUGACUCGUUUUUAAAAUGAGCCAAUACAUUAAUGAGUGAGCCAUGCUAUAACAAGCCGAGCUAGCUCGAUAUAUAGUCCUACCUGUUGAUGGCCCAAAUUGAUCUUAUAUUUUAAUCUUGCAGUUAUUAUAAUCCUCUUAAAUUAAAUUUAGUAUUUCAUAUAUACAUCUUAAUAACUUUCUUCGUCCUGACAUGGAAUAUACAAUAUUAUGACUUCUAAAAUAUGUAAAUAAAGCAUUCUAUAUGGUGUCCAUGCUUAAAUUAGCGGAGUUUGUUAAAAUGAAAGUAUAAUUUAAGAAGAAACUCCUUAAUUGGGUAUAAUCCAUAGGUACUGUCAUGGGUUUGAUCCUGUGGCGGUGAUUAAUGAUCCGAUCGAUGAGGCAAUAUGUGUGAAUUUAGUGAUUUAGCACUCAAGACAUAAAGGAUCUGUCUUGGUUUGGGCAUCUAAGCCUUACUUCUAGAGCCGAUUUACUCAGCCUUAUAUACCAGUUGGCGAAUGGAGUACAUGAGGAGAUCUAGUUUAGAGGUUCCCUUGACGCCUAAGGGUAAUCUAGGGUUUUGUGUCCUAAUCUUUUGGUCCAUGAUAGCGUCAAGUGUCGUAACUCAUUGUUGGUCGUGGCCAAGCCAACAACAUUGAACCGCUUCUGGUAUCCGCGAGUGCAUCAUGGGAGCCUUUUGUCAGUGGACAAGGUGAGUUUCCACAUUCUCUGUUCGUUUAGGUGAUAAGUCAUAGUAGAAAGAAGAAAAAUUCUGCUAAAUAACAGGCAUAUUCGGCUGUUAAGUCCAAACAAACAGGGCUUGAUUUCCAUUUCUUGCCGUGUAGUCAUUCACCGAGAACUGAGGGGAUUGUGGGCAAAGGAAUGGGUAUCUCCACUACGCAGUGUUCGAUACAACUCCAUGCGCCUAGGAACCCUAGGCGCCAAGACCUUCCUUUUUCCACUAUCUGUGCUACACACCCGUUCAUCACAUCCCUUCAUCAUCAUGUAUAAAGAUGUAACAGACAUCAAUCAGUUAAGCAACUGAUUGAUUCUGGCAUUACUCUAAACAGUUUUCAUCCAGUGACAUUGCUUGGCACUCUGCUUUUGGUACAGCCAAAGAAUUACUGAUGACGAUUUGCACGUUUAAAUAAAGCAAAAUACCCAAACGGUUUCUCCAAGAUGCCCCUGCCUCACAUUGUAUCAAUGGGCAAUGUCUACAACACAUCGAACUCAGUUUCGUUAGAUAAAAACGAUAACACCAAUAAGCAUUAAUACAAAGUAAGUUUUUUUUCUUUUUCGGGUGCCUUCAUUUAUGAAAUGUGAUAAUCCUUGAUGCUUACAGUAAGCCUCAGCGACUGAGUUCAUUACUUGAUAAUCCCAGUAAAAAAAACAAGAAUCGACAUGCAGCUCCUUAUAACAUAAUGGUACAAACAGGUGACCAGAAAAAUGGUAUUGAACCCAGUUAUAAGUAAAGAAAAUAGUUUAUCAUAACUGACUUCUCAGCGGUCAUAGCAUAGUUAACUUCAAGGAGCUGACACGGGCCAACCAGUGCCAAAUUACAGGUCAACUAUCUUCACAAGCUUUGGAUAGAUUAUGCGAUUGUCCCUUGCAGAAUUGCUCUCAACAAGAGCAAUUUGAACCAAGUCCUGCAGAUGGCAAACAGAAUGCCACUGUUACAGUCAAUACAAACUGAGCAUAUGUUAAGCAACAAAUAGAAUCAUCCUAAAUGCUUGUCAAGAGGAAUCUAUGUCAACAGACUUGUAGCUUUCAACAACCCCCUGAAACUACUGUUUGGUUUGAUUUACUCCCUCCCAACUAUUUCAGUUGAUCCAAUUUACCCCUUAAGAAGAUUUGUCUUUCUGUUUGUCGAAGUACAAGCUGAGUUCUAAUUUCAAAUAUUGCAAGAUGAUAAAUAUCAAAUUUAUGCUAAGAAUGACCAGUUUUUUCAUCAUGUUAAAAUUUUGUAUCACUAGUGUUAAUUUAUUAUUACAUUUCCUAACCUAUCAAAACAGUGACAAAAAGUUUAUGAUGUAUUUGUAACAUAAAUUAUAAUGUCCAUCACCUCGCAAAAUUUGAAAUUAAAACUCAACUUGUGCAUAGAUAGUAAAACCAAACUAGCACAUCUUCCUUAGUAAUUUGAACAACUUAAAUAGUUAGAGAGGCAGGGGAUUUGUAAAUCGAUCGAAGCAUCAGUUUAGGGGAUAUAUCUAGACAUAGGCAAAACUUAAGGGAGGGGGGGUAAUAACUCACCUUCACGUCCCUGCUUGAUAAAAACUUCCCCAAGUUGUGAAGAAUACAUUUUAAAUCAUCCACCUGCAGUUGUGAAAUAAUGAUAGUCAGUGACCACACGGAUUGAAAUAGUGGGAUUGAUUUUGAAAUAAUAGGUCAUGCUCGCAUAAUACCUUGAGAUAUCCUGCUCUAUUUAUGUCAAAGUACCUAAAGGCCUAUAAGAUCAAGGGAGAAAAGAUCAAGACAACAUUAACUGUCAGACCACAAACCAAACACACCCUUAAUGUUUCCCAUGCAUCAGAGAAAAACAAACAUUACCUGCAAUAGGUCCUUGUCGACCACCUCAUCUUUUGUUGGCUUAACCUCCUUACUGGCUACCUUUUCUCCACCUUCCACUGAAUCUCCUUUCUCUGCCACGGACUGUUUUUCCUCUAUUGAAGCAGCUCUUUCAUGGAUGUUAGUAAUAUUUUCUACUUCAGGCUGUGUUGUACUUUUGUUAUUUCCACCAUCUGCUGUCACUACUUCUUCUGGCUUAACCACUCGGUCUUUUGUGUCCUCAAUCUGUGCCACAAGAAAAUGAGGUGCCACGGACAGAUUAGGCAUGGUUAAUUCUGCGGAACUAGCUUUGUGUAUCUCUUACAUAAAAAUACUGAGAUGAUAUUUUCUGUGAAACCACACAAUAUGACAAUGCUACUUAGUAAAACUAAACUGUAAGAUUGGUGAAAAGCAGUCUCAAGCACUAUAGGAAGGACUAGAACGGCAUGGUUAACUUCCAUAUGUCAAGGAAAAGAAACUUAUAGUGGAAUUUUAAGAAAACACAAGGUAAUAAAUGACAAGUCAGUUCAAAUAAGAAUAGCUGAAUCAACUAGGUCAAAAAAAAUGCUGGAAAAAAACCUGCUCUGCAAUCUGUUCUUCAGCAUGAGCAUCAUCCAUGUCCUCAUCAUCUUCAUAUAUUUCUAUUUCUUCAGGAUCUUCCUCGUAUUCAGGAUCUUCCUCCUCCAUAUUUGCAUCAGCUGCAGGUUUAUCAAGAACAGCUUCUGAAUGAUCAGUGCUCAUAUUUUCAUUGCCCUCUUUUGCUGGUUCACCAUGGUUAGCAAUUGGAUGAUCGGUGCCAAGUUUUAUCUGACCCUCUUUUGACAGUUCAGCAUGGACAUUUGCUGAUUGAUCUGUGCUCAUCUUUUCUUCACCCUCUUUUGUCAUUUUAACACUGCCUCCUGGAUUAUCAACACUUCCAGUUAUAGUCUCAUUAGUCUUUGAUCGCUUCUCGGAGGAAUUAUUCUCCUCUUUCUUUAGAUCUUCCUCUCUUUGGCGUUUACGUUGAUUCCUCUUCACAACAUAACGUCUAUACAGUUUCUGCAAAGGAAAAAGAAUGUGCGGAAACAUAUCAAUGUGCCAAAAGGCCCAAAACAUACUGUGGAUGAGCAGGGGGGGGGGGUCCCUAUUUUCAUGGUAGGAUGAGCCUAAUUCUAUCAUAUGACAGCCUCUAACAGUGAACCUACAUUAAAAAAACUUAAGGACUACCACACAAAAAGAAAAAUGCACCAUCACCAAACGCCAAAUCAAGGUUGCAGAUGAAAAAUAGUGACAAAACCAGUGUACCCAGAGUCUUGGGUCCUAAAAACCUUCACCAUAUUAGACACACCACACCCAAUUCAAAAUGCAAGAGAUAUUUAUUAAGUCCAAAAUGUUUGCAGACAUAUAUACUCAUGCCAGUGUCCAAGUAACAGUAAGUGACGCAGUGAAAUAGUUUUAAGAGUUGCUGUCUUGAAAAAGAGCAGCUUCAGUCUCACUGGUAGUGGCAAAGCACACAAUAGUUAACUCAUGAACAAAGAAUCAGAGAGCAGCCACUGAAUUAUCAAAUACAAGUGAGCAGCUGAUCAUUCAGAAACAAAGCAUAGAACCAUUAGGUUUAAAAGGAAUGCAUGAAGAGGCUGAAGGGGACCGCAGAACUGAUUAAUAUAAUGAUAUAAUAAACUACCAUGAGCCAUUCAUUACAAUAUUUCGCACCAGGGCAUCUUGAAUUACACAACAGUAAUUAAGUCUCUGAGACAUGUCACUAGAAUAAUUACAAGAGGAGAGAAUUAUUUGAAGCUUAGCUAAAUCAUUUGCAAAGCACAAAGAAUGUACCUCAAGAAAAGACAGGAUAACACAACCCAUUCUGUGUUGAAGCAUUUCACCAAAUGACUCAGCAAACAAAGAAAGCUGAAAAAGGAAUAGAAGAACAGAUCAGUGUACAUUUACGUGAGCUCUCAAACAAAACAGAUUUCAUUGCUGCGACAUGCUCAAUUGCACCAACUAUGUCGAAGCAAAAGAUAUAGUGGUAGUCUCUUUUGAUAUACUAACAAAAAGUAAUUAAAGAACGCAGACCUCAAAUACUGACUCCUCUAUAUCCUUGGCAGUAUAGUCUAGGAGGCCAUCCAACGAAAGGGAUGUUGAACGGAGCUGCAAAACAGAAUUCCUUAGAUACGAUAUCAUGGACAAUUCAUUAAGGUUAAGUAUUGUAGCAUGUUACCCAUACUUUAGAUUCUUUAUUCCUUUUUGCCUGAAGAAUGAAUCCUGGAUAUUUUGGAGGUUCAUCAGACCUCUUCUUUUCUUUUGUGUCAUUGAGUGGCUUUUGCUUUGGAUCCAUCUUGAGGUCUCUAUUCUUCUUCUCUUUAUCGUCCUUUGUUUUAUCCUUCUUUCCAUCCUUUUUUGUAUCUUUUUGUUCCAUAGCUUCCUUGUGAUUGCCCUUAUCCUCAUUUGAACUGCGAUCAUUCAAUGGGUGUUCGUUUUCCUCUGGCUUCUCUUCUUUCUUCUGAUUUGAGAUAUCUUCUCCAGAUGGAAUUUUUGACCCUUCUUGCAGCUUAGUCUGAGGACUUCCAACAUCGGUUGAGCUCUCAACAUUUUUAUCUGGCUGAACAGUUUCUUGCUUACUAGUUUCAGCAGGUGUAGCAGGGGCAGUCAACUGAGAACCUGAACCAGAAACUUUCCUUUUAACAAUCCUUCGAAUUAUUUUCUUUUUUCCAGUUUUCUUUGCUUCAGGCUGUUGACUUAUGCCAGCUCCCUCUUGUUCUUUUCCACCAUCCUCAUUCUUUUGUUGACUCUGACCCCCUUCUGCAGUUUUGUUUGCAGAUUCUGCUACAGCAUUCUUGUCCUCAGAAGAUUUAUCAGCUGAAGGUCCAGUUGUUUUUUUCCGAACAACUUUCACAACCUUUUUUAUUAUUUUCUUUUUUGUGGGCUUUUUAUCCCCAGCUACAUGGUCAAUAGAGGAGUCGCCCGUAGUUUUUCCUUCAACAUCCCCACCCAUCUUCUGAACAGGUUCCUCACCUUUAACCUUGCCCUCUACAUCAUCAUCUUGUUGUUUCAUAUCAGCAUCACCUUUCUCAUUUUUCAUAUCACUGCAGCCAAGAUCACCCUCUUUUAAUUGAUCAGCAUCUAAAUUUUUACCCUUGUUCAGCUCCCCUAAAAUUGUUAACAAAUGUAUUCAGUUUUUCUCUAACAGGCAGACAGAUAAAAAAAAAAUCAGUGAGAUGCAACAUGGAAAUCUUACAAACCUUGCAUCUGCUCUUUUGAAUCACCAGGGCUCUAAAACAAGCAACAAGGAUUGGAAAAAAAACUUUAGUGAGAACUCCAGAGAAAAUAAAAAAUGUUAUUCACCAAAUCAAAAGGCCAUGAUAGAACAAAGUAACCUUUUCCUUUAUAACAGUGAGCUGAUCCCUUUCUGCCUUUGAUUUUUUGUACAGAAUCCAGUUAUUCUUCCAUACAUCCACUGAAGGCAGGCAAUCUGACAAGUUUGGCACAAACAGAACAGUAAUUUCUUUGUGACUGAAGAGUCCAUCUUUGCCUAUUCGAUUGUAAUGUACCUGCACGUUUAAUGAUUCAGUUAAUAUUCCAUCAGCAUGCAGUGAGAAGUGGAGGGACUACCAGAUACAUACAAGUAAUAUACAGAUGUACAAUAUCCCAACCAGUUGUAACCCGCAAGCUACUAAUUGUAGUGAAGUAUGGAUAGUGUGCCUAUGUUACAGCUAAACUCAGCAAAAACUCUCAAGAAUUUGAUAUCAGGGAUAGACAGAAGCAAAAUUUCAAGAGAAUAAGAUUCCAAAAAAAGAACUUCAAGAGAAUAUUGAAUAGAUCAAAAAAUGCAAAUUGGCUCAAAUGUUAAGGCAUGAUUUGACUCGGCAUGGCUUUGUAAGUUGAAUUUUGACUAAAGAUCUCUCGUGGUAUUAGUCCCCCCCAACUAGAAAAUCAUGAUUAUAAGUGCACAAUGAAAUAAAAUUCGGGUGGUACCAAUUUCCUAUUACUAAAUCUUUACAUACACGUAAUCUGAUUGUUCAUUAGAACUUAUACAAAGUUUAAAACUUGAUAGGCAUCCACACCUCACAAAUUUGACAUAAAGUGUUGGUCACUGUAUUGGCCAGUUUAUUGUAUUAGCGUUUUCUUAAUCCUGAAUAUAAUGCAGUGAGGAAUAACAUUUCAUAUACACGUGAUCUGAUUGUUGGUCAAAACUUACAAAGUUUAAAACUUGAUAUGCAUCCACACUCACAAAUUUGACAUACGAAGUGUUGGUAGUCAUAUUGGCCAGUUUAUUCUAGGGACCCUUGAUUGUACUAGCGAUAGAUUUCUUAAUCCUGAAUAUAAUGCAGUGAGGAAUAACAUUUCAUAAACAUUCUUUUUGGUUAGACAUUGUAAUCGAACUUGCAACAUUACAAAAGGCAGCAACAUCAUAAAUAGGCUUUGUUUCACUUACUAAACAAAGGAACAUACAUUUCUUAAAUUGAGAUGGACAACAAAAAAGGGUAGCAGUGUCGGUACAAGAUAUUUUCCAUGAGAUAGUAUCCAGUACAUACAAAGUUUUUUUGAAGUGCUGAGAAAUAUAUAUUCACAAGUACCUCGACAAAACGGUUCCAGUGGAUGCAACUAGAUAGAUCAACCUGAACCAUUUCCUUAACGCAUCUGUCCAAGUAGGAUAAUAUCAGUACAACUGCAAGUUCGUCAUCAUACCUUGUUUGAUAACAGCAUACCUGAUGGCAGUUCGAAUCAAGCAAGAACAGUCAACUGAUGGGUCACCACCAUCUAUUGCUGCAUUCCAAGGGCCUCCGAUUGCAAAAAGAGAACGAUCCUUUUUUAAUACAGCAAAUUUUAAGAUAUUGUUCAAGUGCGCAACUCGUUCCUCGGUACUUCUCAAUGAAGUUAUGUCAGCAAAGGCACCUUUGCUCAUGCCACUCAUCAAUAGUACCUGCACACCAUCACACUUAUAAGCACCACUGCAACAGGAUAAUAACUUGGAAAUGAUUUUCCAUACUUAAAAGGUCAUAUAACAAAAUUUUGUAUUCCAUCUGGUGGUUAUCAUCCGAAGUGAGAUAAGCACAAGGAAGCAUAUCAAUGCCCUUAAAAAGAAUGGUAUUUUAAUGCCCUUGGGUAACUUAAGGCAGCACACAAAGUUAUGCAAUGAUCUAUUUGUAUGCAACAACAAAUUGUUCUCAAUUUCUACAGACUUGAAACACGUACAGAAAAACCAUAAAAUACUGCUGCAGUUUUCAAAUACUGUGGUCUUUAAAAUACAACAUCCAAACAGGCCUGAAACUAUAUGCCAUAUAUUUCCUUCAGAUUCACUUACACCAUGUACACAGUAUAAUGAGUUACUCCAGAUCAGCAAUUUAUCUACUGACCACAAGAGCUACAACUUGAAACAUGUACAGGAAAAAAAGACUCCUAAAUUGAAGCAAAUACAAAACUGUAAAUAGAGACCUUUGCAUUCCAAAUGGUGGCUGGAGAUGUUUUCUCAGUAGCGACAAUUGCUCCUUCAUCAGCACCAUCAUCUGAAUCAAGGACAUCAUGCUCCAAACUGUUUCACAGCAAUUGUGACAUGCAAAUUGUACAGUUAAUUGGAAACAUGAGAACUCCAAGGAACACAUGUAUAACAGUUUUAUGCAUAGUAAUGUGUUCCCAAAAAAAGGCAUACCUCACUGGUGUAUGCAGAGGAAGAUUUAAGUUUUCUUUAGCCCAGUUCAAGACAAUCUGUGCAACAGCAAAUUAUUAUAUAAACUAGAGUGACAGAGAAUGGCAAAGGCCAUGUGGAAUAUAGAUCAGAAGCAAAAGGUCAAUGGACUAUGCCCAACCUUGGAAAAUUCUGGAGUAAUUGCGAGUCUGGGAUACCGUUUUGUCACGGACAGAUAAUCCCUCUCAUCAUCCACGAAGCGAAAUGGCAAAACCUGCAAAUAACAUCAUAGUUAGCAUUAAGUUCACAGCAGGAUGCAAAAUGAAACAACCCCAUAACUGUGCAUAGAAAAAUGUCUUGGUGAAACAUUAAAUAGAAAGGGAAGAGAGAACAGGAAAAGGAAGACAAUCACUCAUGGCUGCUCAAUCAUACUCUUGUGCAAUCAAAGAUUAAGGUAAGGCGCGAACGCUCUUCAAAUUUCGGUGGAGUCAUGACUUGCCAUAUCACAAGAAAAAGAUAGCAAAGAUUCUGUACCAGGGAGAGAGAAGCCUAAUAGAAUGGCAAAAGGAAGAACAGAUGAAGAUGGAAGAUGGACCAGAACCAAGGAACCUUAAGAUCAGAAUGCAUCAAGGAGGCUAGUGAAGAACUAACAAUUUCAACUGAUUUCAGCAAUAACACUGACAGACACAGGUUUCUAUUUACCUUGCAAAUAUAUUCUCUCUUUAUUUCUUUAACAGGUGAACGAUGCCUUCAGCACAACAAAUGAAAAUGUUAGUUUAAAAAGCUGCACGAAAGACGAAGCAGCAACCUAUUUCAUCCACAAAGCUGCAGAAGAAACAUGGAAUCCACCUAUGCACAGCAUCACGUCGAGGGGAAAUUCGCCGCACAGGCUUCUCAGAUCUAACAGAAGAAGAGCGCCGUCGAUCACCAGGGCCUCUAGGUGAAGUCAGCUCCCGCCUUGGAUCAGCUCCGUGCUUCCUAUCCCGCUCUCUCUCCUUCUCCCGGCGCUCACGAAGGCGUUCUCUUUCACGCUCUCUUUCACGUUCGCGUUCCCUUUCUCUUUCGCGUUCUCUUAGUAGUCUUUCAUGAUCCCUUUCACGUUCUCUUUCUCUUUCACGGUCUCGAAAGUCCCGUAACUCGCGCUCCCGUUCGCGUUCACGUUCCCAUUCAAGCUCCUUUUCUCGUUCCAGCAUUAGGUCCCUUCUACGCUCUUCAUCUCUUAGAUCCAGUUCACGACGAUAACCAAUCCGAUCAACUCUACGGUCAUCAACCAUUGAGACGCCUGGAUGUACACGGGGUAAGAUGCUAUCUCGGUAAUCAGGAUCUGAAGAUGGAUGGAGGAGGCCUUUCCCUGAGGCAUAAUCACGUCCAGGAGGAAGACCUGCACCAUAACCAGUGCUUGAUGACCCUUGUCCAUAAAGGCUGUCAAUGUUUGUCCUUGGAGCUCCUUCCAACAAUGAGGCUGCUUGCUGUCUUCCAUACGGAGCAGUCCCAAGAAUGGACAUGUUGCGAUUAUCAGCUUCAACUCUUCCAUAUACACCAAUUUCCUGGGAUGCUUGAUGGACUGGAGCAGACCUUCCUGCAAAGUAAUCGGCUUGUCUGCCAGAAAUGCAUACUAUACUCAGUGCAUGCGCUAUGUUCUAUUGCAGUGAUAAACACACAAAUUAUUGCUACUGAUUAGUCUUCCAAGAAAAUCAAUGAGAAGUACCAAGACAACUAACGGAAACAAACACUACGGCGGAAUUUGUUUAGCAAGCACAUGGGGAUGCACUGUUAUAAACAAUAAUCAACAACAUUCUAGAAUCAUUGCAUAUAACCUGACUGAGAGUCUGAGAUAGUGUACCUCGUAUCAGAUCCAGGCUGCAGCUGACCUUUCAGGAGCUGCUGGUGGCGCAUCGAUGAACCCUAGAAAAUUAACAGGAUUCAAUAGACAACAUGUUAACAGAAAGAACAAAACAGCAUUCUGUAAGUAGGGAAACAAAAAUCUACCUGCUCCAUAUGAUCAUGAACCUGAGAAAAAACAGAAGGGUUACAACAGUGCACUGAUUAUUUAAAAUCUAGAGAAAGGCAAAAAGAAAAACAGAGAGAGAGAAACCUGAUGACCAGAAGCUAUCUGAUCGGUGUAUCUCCUAUCCAAAUCACUGAGGCCGUCUCUCCUACCAAGAUUGGCCGAGUGUUCACCAUACAUCCUUCUCUCUAGUGGAUAAUCAGUGCCAUAUUGGUCUAGCUUCUGUGCAUAACCACGCACAGCCAUAUAAUCAUCAUUUGGUCUUGCCAAGCCAGACCCCACAGGUGCAGAUGAGAACUUGGAUGACUCGGUGAGCGAAGUUGGACGAGUUGGCAAGCUAGGAAGACUUGAAGAAGCUGGACCUUUGCCACCAAGUCCACCAACCUGUUGAAAAGAAUGAGGAUGCUCAGUUGAGAUACUUGGCAGCAAAAUUGUGGGAACCACAUGCAACUGCAACAGUACAAGUUUUGGUCAGGAGAAGUGAACUCUAACCAGAGGAAGUGACUGAAACAGCUGAAACAUGUGAUUGGCAGGAAGCGACAUGAGGAAAAGGUCGCUUGAGUGACUAAAACAGGGGCUAAACAAAGCUCAAAUAAAAGAAGUGUACAUGAAUGGUUGGCACAGAGGGCGUGUUUGGUUCCUGCCUGAGCCGCUGCCGCCGCAAGUGUGGCCAUGCCAUGAGUGCAGCAGACAAAACAGCCACCCGACUAUUGGCGAGCUGGGGCGCGCGUUUUGAACUGCUGCGGCGGUAGCGUUUGGCUCCUGCGGCGUGGCUGCCUGCAGCAUGGUUUGGAAACCAUCCAAACACGGCCAAAUUCCUUCAUAGGCUCAUAGCAGACACUAUUCAUGGUACGAAUUUAGUAUUAUAUGGUUCUAAAUAGCCAGUUAUAUAGAUGUAAAAUGCAAAAUGCAAAAAGCUUAGCAGUUUCUAUAACUGGAUGUAAAAUGCUAGCUGGAGGUAAUGACAUAUCUUAGCAUGUUUUGUGCAAGGGAACCUAAUAAAUAGAUUUUUUGUUAACCAACUUCUCUUUCUGCAAGUAUUUCUUGUUCCAAAAAGUGUAGGAUCAUACACAUUUUUUGCUUAAAUUGUUGCACAAAUUGUUCUAACAUUAUCGGUUAGUGGAAGUGAUGGACAGUUGUUUUGCAUAAUCCAAACAGAAGAUGACCUUUUCCACGUACUCCCUCCGUCUCAAUAUACAAGGCGCAACACCGCCACCCCCCCCCCUCCCCCAACACACAUACACCCAACAUACACGCAGACCAAAGAAUGGAGUUAAUCCAAACACCACGUCAAUUAAGCAAAGCAUUAAAUGAUGUGGCACCGGUGUAUAUAAAGUACUACCACUAAUAGAGUGCAGGGGCAAGCCCAAAUAGAGCUGAGCAUUAAAUUUUCACACGGGUACAUGGGCACCAAAGGGAGUCAAAGGACGCCACGCCCUCUAUUAUGGGACUUCAAAUAAAAACAGUUACGCCUUAUAUGUCGGAGUAACUUCCAAAAAAAGAAAAAAUCACUAAGCCCUUUUUUUUGUUUCAAUUUGAAACUUUAAACGGUCAGACGAGCAUAUAUUAGGAAUAUAUAACAAGCUUUUAUAAUUCAGAUUAGCAAGAAGGAUAGCUAAGCACACAUAGAAAUUCUGCCAGCAAUACUUCACAAAUAUUUAAUUGACUAGGCUGGAAUCAGCAAUUAUAUCCCAAAUGUCCAUUUUUGAUCCAUCAAUUUUUUUAUUAGUGCCAAAAAGAACGUAACUUUGUAACAUUUUGACCUUAUAACUACAAACAAAAGUAUCAGACUAGCAGCUAUCCUUCCGUUACAAACUAUAAGAUGCUUUUACUAUGCAUCUAGACACAGUGUAUAUCUAAGUGCAUAGCAAAAAACUAUGUAUCUAAAAAAGAUAAAACGCCUUAUAAUUUGGAACUGAGGGAGCAAUAAACUUCAAUAGUUUCCUUGAAUCAAGGUUCCUCACAGGUACACGCAACACAAAAAAAAACUCACAAAAAUCAAGCUACACGACACGUGCGCAAAUCAUAUUAAUGGUUGAGGAUCAACGCUAACGGAUAAUAAAUUGCGUGCUUGAUUGCAGAUUUCAUCUAGAAUAGAACAAAACAGUUAUAGCUAACCACCUGUUGCGUGCCAUACACUGACGCAUAAGGCCCUCCAUACUGUGCAGCAGCCCCUUGUCCUGCACGCGCACCAAACCGACCACCAUCAGUGCCACCUGCCGCUGUCGGGGCUGCAAAUCCAGUGCUACUAGGCUGAAAAAAGAGAGCAUUCCAGCCAAAGCGGCGGGAACACAAAUGAUUAUUCAUAACUAAUCUGCGUCCAGCAACAAAAGAAAGCAGCCAGAUCCUUCACAGAGCCUUACGAUUUGGCCGUACGGCUGCUGCCCGCCAUAAGGCGGCUGCUGGCCGUAGUGAUUGGGCCCUUUGGGAGGAAACAUGGCGGUCGCAGGGGCUCCUGCAGGGGCACGAGACCCGGACGAAACAAUCCACGCGCACGAACAAGCGCCUGCGAGGAAAGAAGGAAACCCUAGAUGUUUUAGCUCCAAAGAGAAACGAGACUACAGCGAGUCCAACACAAUACAGCCACCGUAUCCGCAGAUUCGAUCCGCUGCCCGAUGCAUGGGCUAGGGUUUACCCGCGAGAUGGAAGAGGAGGCCAGAUGGCGUCGGAUGGAAGUGAAUCCCCCGUAGGCCACGGCUUCAGGACAGUGCCGGGUCCGCGGCCGGAGCCCGGAGGCAACGGUUAGCAGCGGAAGAGCGGCGAGCGUUGGCGGCGGGCGGCGGGCGGCGGAAGGGUUUCGGCGAGGGGUUCGGAGAGCGCGAGAUAGGGGGGUGUAGCCUGUUGCGCCUGUACAACCAGGAUGCUCCGUUAUUAUUAUUUUUGCUCGAUUAUAUUCAGCGUGGCAUGAACUGCGAGCAGUGCGGCUGAGCAGGCUUCAAUUCGACAAUUCUAUGCCUGGAUGGGCUCAUGGGCCUCGCAUACUCCUAUCUAACCUUGUUUAUUAGAUCAAAUAUAGUAGGCUAACUAAACAUACUAAGAGCAUCUUCAAAAAUUCCAAAAUAUGUUAUUUGCUCACUUCUAAAUUAGUCGAUCAAGUCUAGAAGGCUAACUAAACAUACUAAGAGCAUCUCCAAAAAAAUCCCAAAAUAUGUUAUUUGCCCACUCCUAAAUUAGUAGAUUAAAGGCCUAUUUGGUUCCUCUUACUAAAUUUUAGCUAGCUAAAAUUAUUUUAGCUACUCUUAGAUGACUAAUGGAACUAAACUAUUUUAGUUCCUUUUAGUCAAUGUGUUUGAAAUUUUAGCUACUAAAGUGACUAAAGAUUAGUUAGCUAAAAUUUAGCAAGAGGAACCAAACAGAGCCUAAGUCUAGUAGGCUAACUAAACAUACUAAGAGCAUCUCCAAAAGAUCGUGAAAUAUGUUAUUUGCUCACUCCUAAAUUAGUAUAGGGAGAAAAAAGAAGUCAUCUCGAGAGUUUUCUAUAUUUCUAUCUAAAAAAAUUCUCGGCACUUUUUUCCUAUAUAUUUUGUAUCAGAAACUCUGAAUUUAUUUAUGUACGUGUUUAAGCCCUUCCAAAAGAUCUUUCUCUCUUGUGUUUUCCUCAUCUAGAACCCUGUCUUUCAUCCUACUUACUAGACUGGCCGAUACGCACUCCAGGCCACGCGAAUAUACACGUGCUGGAGAUAGAUUUUUGCGAGGUUAGAAAAAGAUGGAGAAGGAAGAUGCCAAAUUAUUGGAGAGGGUUCUUUCUUAUUUUGCUAAAAAAAUAAAGAUGGGAAAGCCGGAUGACAAAUUGUUGGAGAUGCUCUAAAUUUCAAAAAAAAAAGCUAAACAUACUAUUCUAUCCUUAAUUUGGAUAAUGGAAACGUACUCUAACAGACUAUCUUUAAUUUGGACAGUGGAAGUUAAAAAACACACACUAAGAUCAUCCCUGACUUUCAUGAUCAUCCCUGACAGGCUAAAGACAUCAUCGGCUAAUGUCAGGAUUCAUCCAACGCGGAUGAAAGAAGUUGCUAAAAACAACUUGCUAGCGAGUGAGAAAUCAUUUGGCUCAGCUCACUUCCCAAAAAAGCUCAUGGUCUAUGCACUUUUCACACCUCAUCCACAUAUACUAAUGCAUGCUACAGGAUUUUUUUAUUAUUUUUUACUCUUUUCUGCUGCCACUUUUCUCCAACCGGUUGCGGAUGUCCUAACAGCACAUUCUUAAUUUGAACAGUGGAGGUAAAAAAACGCACUCUAAUAGUUAUCUAUUAGACUACCUAAAUUUUUUGGUCUAACAAUUUUUUUUCUUUCACUAUCUAUUUAUAUCGGUCUAACAAAUCAUGCUAUCUAUUUUUCUUCCCCCACGCACACCUCUCUCUCUCUUCACGCUCGCUCGCACGAGCUUCCCGAUAACACUUAUCCCCGUCAUGCACCCUCUCUGUGCAUGCACGCUAGCAAACACUAUAAAUGUUUCUUUAGAUGCAAUUCAAUUUCCAAUACAAGCCAACCAAACACCACUUCAUUGUAUUAGGCUAGGUUGGAUUAGGUUAAUCUCCAAUGCGGACAACCAAUUAGACUCACGGUGUCUUCCACGAUGAAAAAGAUAGAGUAGUUGAUUUCUUUAAUAUCCAAGUGCUCACCAAAGAAGGGUAAAGAAAAAGGACAGUGCUAGCACCUGACGGGUUGUCCGCUCACUUCCUCGCACCGCUGCUCCCCUGCUGCUUUCUCCCUCCUCGCGUCUCUCCUUCGCCGCCCCCUCCUUCCCCGUUGAGCAGCCCGCCAUCGUCCUCGACCCCGGCCAUCCUCCCCUUCCUCGCCCUCACCGCUGGCCAUAGCCCCGCCAUGGGUGUCAGGGUUCACGAACUCUAGUGCCUGAGGGGGCCGCCUUCUUCCCCUCCUCAUCCGGCCAUGCUGCCCCCGACCUUCCUUGGCCCAUCCGCUGCAAGGGCCCCUAAGCCGCCUAGCCUCCUCCCCCACCAUUCGAUCGACCUGUCUCUAUCCGGGCAGACCCUUCUAUACCCGUCAGAGUUGGGAAGGAGAAAGGGAGAGACUAGCGAGACAUGAGCUCGUUGUCUUCUUCGUCUCUGGCAAGGUCACCAGAACCCCAGCCGCCGAUGUCGUCUUCUUCGUCUCCAGCGCGGGAAGGAGAGGAGACGCGCACGGAGGGUGGUAGCACUAUCGCAACGAUCGCGUGUCUAAGUUUCCGAAAGAAAAUCAGUUUGUUACAGCAGCACUGUCGAGUAAGUUUUGCAUUCCACUCCACCAUUGUAGUAUGUAGUACCAAGCAUCUCACACCUAGUAACAGCUUGCUUUGCCAACCGGGAUUACCGAAGUCCAACAAAAUAAGGUCGAUGCCACCGGCCGAAGUUCUAUAACUGGGUAUAGGCAGAACAUGACGAAUUGCUCAAUCCAACCCAACUUGCAUCAGUUCUGCUGCGCGCAUCAACGAGAACUGAUGCAUACAACUAGAGAUGACACCACAGCAUACCACCAGCCAUAUGAUAAAAAACCGCUAGCAAAAGAGAGGCUGCCGCAACAAUUGACUGCCAUCUGAACUCAUUUAGAAGCCCGCAAUGGUUCGCCAGUCUAACUUGCAACCUGAUAAAAAAGUGGAAAUGUUGGCGCCCUAACUUUUGGCAACAACUGAUCUUCCCUUAUUAUUUCUUCUCUUCAACAAAUAAUCUGUAACAAUUUACAACUGUUUCAAGGCUACAAAUCAAUGGAAUCGACCCCCCACCCAACCCUGACCCUACUAACCUCUUGUCUAUGUACAUCGCAGAAACAACAGCUAUGUCACUUCACCACAAAAAAAAUCAAGGGAUGCACAUCAGUUCCUACGCCUUCUCAUCAUCUGUUUCUAUGCUUUGAGGUUGGCUCGUGUCUUGAUUGGCUUUAGUUUAACCCCCAUGCUCUCAGGAGAGAGGAGCUCCGGUGAUAUGCAAAACGGAUUCAGAGGGCUGCGAGGGCUACAGUUUAUCUGGCUUGGCCUGUACAGUCCAUAUCCCAUGAGGAAGUACUCCAUCGGUAUCAGCAUUGCAUGAGGUUGCUCCUCUGUCACAACCGAACCACAAGCUUGUACCUGUAGAAACACCAAAUUUGGUAUGUAAAACCCUAAAAUCAAUGUAAAAAAAUCUGUGUGCAAAUUGAUACCUCCACAAGAGCGCUAUAUCGCCUAUCAAGCUUUGCAGUCAUGUGAACAGCUUCAGCAUGGAACUGGGAAUUCUCACCAACAAAAAUUAGUGUUCUGCAUUGUAGUUGCUUCAGGUUCUCUGUCAAGUCUUUUCUCCUGCAUAAAGCAUGGCAAAAUAUUUGGUUCCACUCAUCCACUGACUCAGGUAUGACCAUAUGAGUUGAUCAUAUAAGCUCUAGAGAUAAAAAGGACAUACUCAUUGAUAGUUUGGAUAAAUCUCCACACAUUCAUGCACUGCCGUUGAUCUAGAAACUUCAUUGAAUAAAAGGAGGGUUAAACAUCAUAAAUAACAUCGUAACUGAUAAUGGAUGAGAAGUCUUAGAGCAUACGCUUCUACAAGCCUGC